AGCUUUGCACAGGGGCAGUAUCGUGGCCAUUGAGGUUUAUCUGAAGUAUGAUUAUUGCUAAUUGAAAACUUUUCCCAAUACCCCACCAUGAUGACUUGAAAUACAGUCAGCAUUGGCAAUUUUUGACAUUCUCUGCAGAGA